CAGAACAUCGUUCCAGACCCUGUCUACUCAGCGGUGAAGACAGAUAGACAGAGAUACAGGUCAGUAGGUCGUUCCAGACCCUGUCUUCUCAGCAGUGAAGACAGACAGACAGAGAUACAGGUCAGAAGGUCAUUCCAGACCCUGUCUACUCAGCAGUGAUGACAGACAGAGAUACAGGUCAGAAGGUCAUUCCAGACCCUGUCUACUCAGCAGUGAAGACAGACAGAGAUACAGGUCAGAAGGUCAUUCCAGACCCUGUCUACUCAGCAGUGAAGACAGACAGAGAUACAGGUCAGAAGGUCAUUCCAGACCCUGUCUACUCAGCAGUGAAGACAGACAGACAGAGAUACAGGUAGAGCUGUAUCUGGAUCCAGGGACGGAAUGUACAGACUGAGAGACCCUGUUCAUCAGAACAUCAUGGUGGAUGGAAAAAGAUGCACAACCCUGUCAGUCCAUCUCUUUACUUCUCUUUUCUCUUAUAUUCUCUCUCCCUCCUUCCCUUAUCUUUAACCAACUGCAGCCUUGACCGCCAACAGCAUCAGCAACAGAGAGGUGUGAAGUUUCCACAACAGAGAGAGUCAGUUUAUCAUGUACUUCUCUUUAGACACUGCAGCCUUGACCUCCAUCAACAGAGUUAGAGUUAGUUUAUCAUGAGAACAUACAGACACCACUAACUGGAACUAUCAACAACAAGAGUUAGUUUAUCAUGAGAACAUACAGACACCACUAACUGGAACUAUCAACAACAAGAGUUAGUUUAUCAUGAGAAAUACAGACACCACUGACUG